rnacentral:misc_RNA from 1 species
GGAGAAUUGCUUACAUCUUCGGUGUCUCCGUCUCUCAUCUCUUCCCCUUAAAUCUUCUUCCUAGAUUCAAUUGCAGUCUUUUUGUUUGUCUCUUUGAUUUAAGAUAUUCACCUUCCAUUUCUUUCGAUUCCUCCUUUGUGGAGGAAUUGAAUCUCCAUUCUCUGCUUGCAAUUCCUCUGUAAACAGAAAUGUCGGUGAUUUCAAAUUUCACGGCAUGUAGUCUCGGUGAUUGCACGGCUAAUCAUGCUGAUGGGAAGUUCAAUUCUGGGUCUAUUCCUGGCUUAAAUUGGAGAGCCACCAACAGGAUUUCUAUGCCUCACCAGAGCAGCACAUUUCGGUUAUCUGUUGGUCAGUCAAGCUGCAAAGCUACUAAAGAUGGAAGUAUACGAAUGACAUUGUUAGAUGAGAGGCCAGCGCCUGGCAGAUAUAUGAUUGAGCGCUCUGGUGUAUUGGCUUAUGAUCUUGUUCAAGGAGAACUUGUAAAGUGGAGCUCUGCAAUGGACAAGUCAAUGCCAGAUCCGCCAACAGCUGUGCUUCUGCAUGGCAUUCUAGGUAGCCGAAAAAACUGGGGUAGGUAUUGAAGUAUUUCAAGCUAUUUAUAAUUUUUCUGUCCAUGUUGAUUUGUUUGAAAUAAAUAAUUCAUUACUAAUGUUUUGUCUUAGUGCCAACUCGACAACACGAUAUAUUUUAGGUUGAUGUUAUAGUUCAGAGAAUGCUAUCUCCUAAUUUUUUUUUUUUUUGAACAGGGAUUUCUCAUACUGCUGAUCCAGAUGGGUUUUAUCUUUGAUCUGGUUUUAAAAACAAUCGUAAUUAGCUCUAUCUAUAUUGAAUGAAAUGAAAUGCAAUGCAAGCUAUACACUACAUGAAAUAAUUGGCUGUAUCUAUAUUGGUGGUUGCUGAGAAGGCAAUUAAAGGAGAUAUCGGUUUUUGUCGGCUUAUGUUAAAUAUGGUUCUUUUUAAUUUUCUCUACUUGUUUGGAAUUUGAAUCACUGUGAAAUUUCUUAGGUUAAUUGAGAUUACUUUUGGCUUCUAGGUUAAUUUAAAUUCCAUUUGCUGUGAAAAUCUGGUUUCAUGGCACCAAAUUUGAGUUAUUAUCAGUGUCAAGGGACUUUGCUUGAAGCUAAGAGUAAAGCCAUUUAUAAUAUUAGAUUUUGCAAUUUUUUUUUAUUUGGGUGGUUAUAGUUGAUGCUUCUCAUUUUAUUUUUUCUUAAGAAAAUAAGUCAGACCUAACUCACCCCUAAAAGCUAGCUCAAGGGGGGAGGAGUGCCUAAGGCUAUAUAAGGGGCACAUUACCCCUAUCCCAAACCAAUGUGGGAUAUUAGAGCUCGGACUGGAUUCUGUUGCACUUUAGGGGGAGUGUUGAGAUUAUAAAUCCCACAUCAGAAAAAUAUAAACAUAAAAGGGUAAAUAUA